rnacentral:rRNA from 1 species
UACGUAGGGCGCAAGCGUUGUCCGGAAUUAUUGGGCGUAAAGAGCUCGUAGGCGGCCUGUUGCGUCCGCUGUGAAAUCCCGGGGCUCAACCCCGGGCCUGCAGUGGAUACGGGCUGGCUGGAGGCAGGCAGGGGAGAACGGAAUUCCUGGUGUAGCGGUGAAAUGCGCAGAUAUCAGGAGGAACACCGGCGGUGUAGACGGCUCUCUGGACCGUAACUGACGCUGAGAUACGAAAGCGUGGGUAGCAAACAGG